rnacentral:rRNA from 1 species
CACGUAGGGCGCAAGCGUUGUCCGGAAUUAUUGGGCGUAAAGAGCUCGUAGGCGGUCUGUUGCGUCCGCUGUGAAAUCUCGGGGCUUAACCCCCGAGCCUGCAGUGGAUACGGGCAGACUAGAGGUAGGUAGGGGGAGAAUGGAAUUCCCGGUGUAGCGGUGAAAUGCGCAGAUAUCGGGGAGGAACACCAAUAGCGAAGGCAGCUCGCUGGGACGUUACUGACACUGAGGCGCGAAAGCGUGGGGGAGCGAACAGG